UGCUAAAAGUACACAUGUUGGGUCAUUCAAUCAGCUGACUUGCGAAGGAAAGCACUGUUUGUUUUUAGAGCACUACGAAUACAGUACAACAAAGUGAUCUAGUGAAAUUAAUUAAUCAGUUGUAUAUAAAUUUUGCUGGCACACAUUUCACGCAAAACACUAACGCUCUCUAUUGAAAAGAAGCCAUGACAUCUCCAGCCAUUCAAGCAGCCGACAAAGCUCAAAAAGCUUCACGAAAGCCAUCUGAGUCAACGUCGAACAUAUCACAGGUGCAUCAACAAAGAUGUAUUCCAUCACCGUCCGGUUAUUCUGGACUAUUUACUUGGAUAAGAAUAUUUCGUUUUGCUGAUUCUUUGAUGCGCCAAGGAUGCUAAGACGGAUAAUACCAUUUGCAAUUCUGGAUCAAUUUUCUGAAAUUCCUAAAUAAUGUAGCAGUAUUCUCUGUUGAAAAAAAAAACAUAUGUAGCAAAAUUAGCAAUGGAUUUGAGGCGGUAACUGUAUCAGAGUCUAUUUUGGAAUAAUAAUCAGAAUGUUUCCGCAUAUUUUUCUUUUUCCAUUUAAUAAUUAGAAAAAACAUUACUAGUUGAACUAAAAUUAGAUCAAUGGAAUCGUAGAAUUAUCCAAAAAAAAAUCAAGAAUAUUAGAAAUUAACUUUUACUUUAAUUUGAGAAGAAAAAAACUGCCAAUCAAAUUCCAGAAUAUCAAGAGCAACAUACAUUUGAAGAUGUGAAAAGGUUUUAUUUCAAUGUUUUUUUCUCAAUUCCACUCUGCCACGUAUUUUUUGAAAAUAUUACAAAGUUUUACUUCAAUUUCCCCAUGUGCCAUUCGAGAAAUAUUAGUGCAGUUACAAACCAUAUUUAUGUUAAAUGCAUUUACAAUAAUUUCAAAUGAUAAACAGUGCUGGUAAUUUCAGUCACUAGUGAUUAGUUCAUACAAUAUGUUAUUAAAAACAAAUUCAGCAAAAUUUUGAACUUAUAACUUAGAAUAGUUGAAAUAAAACAAUAAACAUUCAACAAUAUCAACAGCA